AUGCAUUCACCACUUGUGCACCGGGAAUGACCCUCUUUGCAAGAGUGCUCCUUAUCUACAUCUGAAAACAUCACAAUCACGUUCGUAAGUUAAGUAAACUUUCAAGUUAAAUCGGUUUGUAAAUUUCCCAAACAUUAACACUUACUGCAGCCUUUUUCGUCAGAGCUUGGAACCUUGUCCUCGUUGCAAUCAUUCUCACCAUCACAAACCCAGGCCUUGUCAAUGCAGUUGCCAUUAUCACAUUUAAAUUGUCCUUGACUGCAUUCCAGUGGCACUAAUUUGAGAACAGUUGUUUAGCAAAUAAUCAAAAUUUCCUUAAGAGUUCAAAAGUACCAUGCUUUGGAGGACAGUUUUCUUCGUCUGUGUUGUCCCAGCAGUCAUCUUCACCGUCACAAAUCCAGUUGGGGUAAAUACAAGCUGUUGUGAAGUUGCAGUUUAUUAGGCUUAGGUCACUUGUCCCUUUGUUUGAAUCAUAAUGCUUGUCAUUGUUUGUGCAGUCCACACGAGCUUAAGAAUUAUAAUUUAUAUACAUUGAAGCUUUUAAAUUUGGGACUUACGACAUCCCAUUUCGUCACUGGCGUCCGGACAGUCAGCAUCUCUGUCGCAAACAAGCUGACGCCUAAUACAAGUGCCAUUUUUGCAGCGGAAGCCAUCAUUUGGGCAAGAAGUGCAGUUGAACUCAUCAGAGUUAUCCCCACAAUCAUUCUUGUUGUUGCAGAACAAAUUGUUCUCAAUACACCGUUUGUUUGUACAUUGGAAGUACUGAUCUGGACACUUUCUAGAGCCUUGAAUGGAGAAAAAAAAGGCAAAGCUGUAUAAAAUUUUAAUCAUUCUUAGCAAAGUUUUAUCAGUAAGAUGAUUAUUUUGCUCAUUUCUACGUAUUUUAAAUUAUAUUUAAGAUUAAAUUUUUAAAAAUGAUUGAAAUCAACCAAGAUAAUUAUAUGCAUAUCGUUGGGGAUUACAAAUGGCCACUAUCCCCUCUACUUCAUUACAUUAUAUUCCAUGCAAUAGAGAGUAGGAGCGCCACCUCAGAUUGGCCAUAUUUGGCAUAGCCGACGAUGAAAAAUACAAUUUUAAUCCAUUCAUUAAAUGUGACAAAAAUUGUGAGUUAAAGCUGUAAACUUACUGCAAUAUCUGGGGUCUUCAUCGGAUUGAUCAGUGCAGUGCGGGAAGCUAUCACAGGAGCUCCUGAUAGGCACACAUCUUUUGCCAUCAGCGUCCAGCGUCCGACCAGUCCUGCAAGUGCAAGACACCACACCAUUCUUGAUGGUGCAAAUAUCUUCACAGCCACCAUUUAACUUCCGGCAUGGACUCGACGAAGCAGUACCUAAGUUAAAGUCAUCAGCGUCUUCAGCAACAGCAAUGAUUCCCAUAGGCCUGGGUACUUCCCUCCGAAGGGUAAUUGUCUCUUCGCCAGUGUACUUGUUGGCCCUCAUCACAGCAUGUGUCACCCAGUCAGUCCAGAAUACAAACCCUCCAUAUACAGCAAUGUCAAAUGGAUGUUGUGGGGUGGUUUUCGACAAAAUCUGAAAAUUUAAAAUUUAAAUAUAAAAGAUAAUAUGUAUAUUAAUUUCAUUUAAGAUAAAGACACGAAGUUUUUUAGUCAGUGUAAAUUAAGAUAAUUAUCCCACAAUUUAACGAUAUUUUAAUAUUCUCUCCUUACUAUACAAAAUAAAAACCUUACCAUUCUGUUGCUUCCAUCAUACUCGC